rnacentral:sRNA from 1 species
UAAACAUUUUUAAUCGUGUUAUAACGUAACGUACAUUUUUUCAGUUACAAUUUGUCAAUAAGUUGACUCUGCGGGGUACAGAAAAAAACUUUUCCAAAACUUUUUGCGUGUCGACCUUAACAUCGCGAUGAAUGUUGAGCGAGGCUAGACCAUUUAGCCGGUCUUCAGACAUUGUCGACCUGAGGUACGUUUUAAGACGACAUAAUGUUGAAAAAGAACGUUCAUUAGUAGCUGUUGUUAUUGGCAAAACUGCCAAAAUGCGAAGCAUUUGAUGGACAUUGGGAAACGCGUCUUUAUUACACAUAUCGAGUGCUUCCAUUGAAUUUCUGACGAUGUGGCCGGCAAUGUAUUUACGCCAAAGUUGAACUUCGUCGAUCCAAAUGUCAGGGGAAUCAUCGUCGUGCAAAAUUGCAGAAUAUGGUUGAAAUAACUGGGUGCAAGAAUCUUUAUCGAAAUUUUUCAGUUUGUUGGGGAAGAGACAAGCAAAAUUUGAUAGAAUAAAACGAUGAUUCAAAAAUCGAUCUUCCAGAUGAGUCAAAAAUAAAUCAAUGUAUGGGAUGUAGACUGUAAUGCGGAAGUAAUCGUCAACUGACUCGGUUUGGGCAUUUGAAAGUUGAGUCUGUUUUGACGCGAGCCUCGGCUUCCGCAAUUCUAUUUCGUAUUUGUUCCCAAUUUCACUCACAGUACUGAAAAUUUCUUUGAAGUUCUCUUCAGCGUUUUCUCUUCUGUCAAUCAAAACCUGCUUUGCAGCAUCAGCCAAUUCAAUAGCUUCGCCAAGAUCUUGGUUUUCAGUUUGUAGUACUCGACUCAGAGACAGAGUCACAGGUUGUACCGAACCCAAAACAUGCAUGGAAAUCUGGAAUUAAAAUUUUGAGAAUAUAAUAUACAAACAUUUGACAAAAUCGUCAAUAUUUGACUGUGCUUUUGACUUUACCUGAAAAUUUGCUGUCUUUAUAGCUGAAAGGAGUUGGAAAGCUCCAGAUGAAGUCGUUGGGUCCUUCCAGGUGGUCGAAAUCACUUCAAGGGCAAGAAUCACUGCUGGUUGUAGAUGCAAUUUUUCGUUUUAGUUGAUCGCAUCUUGGAGAGCGUUUUGGCGUUUAGGGUACACAAAGAAGGUAUGAACAUUUUCUAGAGUUCCGAGACUGUUUCUGAUGGCUGUGGUAUUGCAUGCAGAGCUGACUGUCAAAUUGAAGGUAUGAGCAGCACAAUGAGAGUAAAGCGCGAGUGGAUGAGUCUUUCUGAUAACAGCUUGUGCUCCAUGAAAUUCCCUGCUAAUCGCUCUCGCCCCAUCAUAACCUUGUCCGAAGAAGUACUUGCAAUUAAGCCCGGAAGAUUCAAAAAAACCGAGAUAAGAAGUUCCUAUUCCUUUUCCAGUAAAAUCUGUGAUAGGAAUAAAGCACAGAAAAUCUUCUCGAACGAUAAACUUGCCGUCGCAUUUAUCCAAAUAUCGAAUGCAUAUUGAACUGUGUUCAACUCCUCCAAUGUCCGGCGUGUCAUCUCCAAGAAAAGAAAAACCCAUCGAAUUGUUUACCCGAUCAACAAUGCAACACAUGAUCAGAUCGUGACAAAUAUUGAAUAAUUCAUUCUGAAUUCGAUUGCUUAUGUACAUAGCGUUUUUUGGUGAAUCCCUCAGAUGCUUCUGUAAGUGCUCAUCAGUUUUUGCGCGGAAUCUCAAGAGAGCCCGGAAAUUUCCAUCAUUUAUUAUCGGUUCUUCUUCACCAAGUCUUCUCGUAUCCUUGGAACGUCGAAGAGCAGUCCCUUGCAGAAUGCGCCGUCUUCUUUUUCCGAGUACGCCAGCCAUGAGUAUUUAUGAAGCCAAUGACGUUGAAACUUUAAAUUUCUAGGGCCCGAUGCGAAAAAAAUUUUAGCUUUCAGGGGGAGUCCAAAUCUUUUUUUGCAAUUCAGGGAUCAAGUUUAUUCCAUGAGCUGAAAAUUUUUGUACGAAUAAUUCAAUAUCGUAUGAACUCAGAUUCUGAUUUAGAGAACCAACUGUCGAAUAUGAGCUUUUCGAAUUAUCGGGAUCUAUAUCCAUAUCUGUAGAACUCUGAAAAAAAGGUUAUGUUACACUCCACAAUAUUAAUUGUGAAAGUUAUUCGAUGCAAAUUAAAAUUUUUACUGCGUUUCCAGUCAA